UGGGGAAUAUUGCACAAUGGGGGAAACCCUGAUGCAGCGACGCCGCGUGAGUGAUGAAGUAUUUCGGUAUGUAAAACUCUAUCAGCAGGGAAGAUAAUGACGGUACCUGACUAAGAAGCACCGGCUAAAUACGUGCCAGCAGCCGCGGUAAUACGUAUGGUGCAAGCGUUAUCCGGAUUUACUGGGUGUAAAGGGUGCGUAGGUGGUAUGGCAAGUCAGAAGUGAAAGGCUGGGGCUCAACCCCGGGACUGCUUUUGAAACUGUCAAACUAGAGUACAGGAGAGGAAAGCGGAAUUCCUAGUGUAGCGGUGAAAUGCGUAGAUAUUAGGAGGAACACCAGUGGCGAAGGCGGCUUUCUGGACUGAAACUGACACUGAGGCACGAAAGCGUGGGGAGCAAA
rnacentral:rRNA from 1 species